UACAGAGGGGGCAAGCGUUGUUCGGAAUUACUGGGCGUAAAGGGCGCGUAGGCGGCCUGCUAAGUCGAACGUGAAAUCCCUGGGCUCAACCCAGGAACUGCGUCCGAUACUGGUUGGCUUGAAUCCGGGAGAGGGAUGUGGAAUUCCAGGUGUAGCGGUGAAAUGCGUAGAUAUCUGGAGGAACACCCGUGGCGAAGGCGGUUCUCUGGGACGGUACUGACGCUGAGACGCGAAAGCGUGGGGAGCGAACAGG
rnacentral:rRNA from 1 species